rnacentral:rRNA from 1 species
GACGAACGCUGGCGGCGUGCCUAAUACAUGCAAGUCGAACGCACUCUCGUUUAGAUUGAAGGAGUUUGCUCCUGAUUGAUAAACAUUUGAGUGAGUGGCGGACGGGUGAGUAACACGUGGGUAACCUGCCCUAAAGUGGGGGAUAACAUUUGGAAACAGAUGCUAAUACCGCAUAAAACCUAACACCGCAUGGUGUAGGGUUGAAAGAUGGUUUCGGCUAUCACUUUAGGAUGGACCCGCGGUGCAUUAGUUAGUUGGUGAGGUAAAGGCUCACCAAGACCGUGAUGCAUAGCCGACCUGAGAGGGUAAUCGGCGACCCUGGGACUGAGACACGGCCCAGGCUCCUACGGGAGGCAGCAGUAGGGAAUCUUCCACAAUAGACGAAAGUCUGAUGGAGCAACGCCGCGUGAGUGAAGAAGGUUUUCGGAUCGGAAAACUCUGUUGUUGGAGAAGAAUGUAUCUGAUAGUAACUGAUCAGGUAGUGACGGUAUCCAAUCAGAAAGCCACGGCUAACUACGUG